rnacentral:rRNA from 1 species
UACGGAGGGUGCAAGCGUUAAUCGGAAUUACUGGGCGUAAAGCGUGCGCAGGCGGUUUGUUAAGUCUGCUGUGAAAUCCCCGAGCUCAACUUGGGAAUUGCAGUGGAUACUGGCAGGCUGGAGUAUGGUAGAGGAAGGUGGAAUUCCCGGUGUAGCAGUGAAAUGCGUAGAGAUCGGGAGGAACACCAGUGGCGAAGGCG